rnacentral:rRNA from 1 species
AGGGAAUCUUCGGCAAUGGACGGAAGUCUGACCGAGCAACGCCGCGUGAGUGAAGAAGGUUUUCGGAUCGUAAAGCUCUGUUGUAAGAGAAGAACGAGUGUGAGAGUGGAAAGUUCACACUGUGACGGUAUCUUACCAGAAAGGGACGGCUAACUACGUGCCAGCAGCCGCGGUAAUACGUAGGUCCCGAGCGUUGUCCGGAUUUAUUGGGCGUAAAGCGAGCGCAGGCGGUUAGAUAAGUCUGAAGUUAAAGGCUGUGGCUUAACCAUAGUACGCUUUGGAAACUGUUUAACUUGAGUGCAAGAGGGGAGAGUGGAAUUCCAUGUGUAGCGGUGAAAUGCGUAGAUAUAUGGAGGAACACCGGUGGCGAAAGCGGCUCUCUGGCUUGUAACUGACGCUGAGGCUCGAAAGCGUGGGGAGCAAACAGGAUUAGAUACCCUGGUAGUCCACGCCGUAAACGAUGAGUGCUAGGUGUUAGACCCUUUCUGGGGUUUAGUGCCGUAGCUAACGCAUUAAGCACUCCGCCUGGGGAGUACGACCGCAAGGUUG